GCAGUAAUAGCUUAAUGGUGAAGCACGUCGUUACCAACGAUGAGACUAUCGGUUCAAGUCCGAUUUACUGCUCCA
rnacentral:tRNA from 1 species